rnacentral:hammerhead_ribozyme from 1 species
AUUCAGCUGAUGAAUUUCAAACAGGAUGAAAUGUGUGUCUUGAAU